rnacentral:rRNA from 1 species
UACGUAGGAGGCAAGCGUUGUCCGGAUUUACUGGGCGUAAAGCGCGCGCAGGCGGCAGUGCAAGUAAGGUGUGAAAUCUCCCUGCUCAACGGGGAGGGUGCAUUUUAGACUGCACAGCUAGAGGUCGGUAGAGGGGGGUGGAAUUGCUGGUGUAGCGGUGAAAUGCGUAGAGAUCAGCAGGAACACCCGUGGCGAAGGCGGCCCCCUGGGCCGUACCUGACGCUGAGGCGCGAAGGCUAGGGGAGCGAUCCGG